GACGAACGCUGGCGGCGUGCUUAACACAUGCAAGUCGAACGAAAAGAGGGAAAGAGCUUGCUCUUUCCGGAAUUGAGUGGCAAACGGGUGAGUAACACGUAAACAACCUGCCUUCAGGAUGGGGACAACAGACGGAAACGACUGCUAAUACCGAAUAAGUUCCCAGAGCCGCAUGGCCCAUGGAAGAAAAGGUGGCCUCUACCUGUAAGCUAUCGCCUGAAGAGGGGUUUGCGUCUGAUUAGCUGGUUGGAGGGGUAACGGCCCACCAAGGCGACGAUCAGGAGCCGGUCUGAGAGGAUGAACGGCCACACUGGAACUGAGACACGGUCCAGACUCCUACGGGAGGCAGCAGGGGGGAAUCUUCCGCAAUGGGCGAAAGCCUGACGGAGCAACGCCGCGGGAGGGAUGACGGCCUUCGGGUUGUAAAACUCUGUGAUCCGGGACGAAAAGGCAGAGUGCGAAGAACAAACUGAAUUGACGGUACCGGAAAAGCAAGCCACGGCUAACUACGUG
rnacentral:rRNA from 1 species